GUGUCAGCAGCCGCGGUAAUACGUAGGGUGCGAGCGUUAAUCGGAAUUACUGGGCGUAAAGGGUGCGCAGGCGGCCCCGCAAGUCAGACGUGAAAUCCCCGGGCUCAACUUGGGAAUGGCGUUUGAAACUACGGGGCUGGAGUGUGGCAGAGGGAGGUGGAAUUCCACGUGUAGCGGUGAAAUGCGUAGAGAUGUGGAGGAACACCGAUGGCGAAGGCAGCCUCCUGGGCCAACACUGACGCUCAUGCACGAAAGCGUGGGGAGCAAACAGGAUUAGAAACCCCCGUAGUCC
rnacentral:rRNA from 1 species